GUGUCAGCCGCCGCGGUAAUACAGAGGUGGCAAGCGUUGUUCGGAUUUACUGGGCGUAAAGGGUGCGUAGGAGGUCGUGUGUGUCGGAUGUGAAAUCUUGCUGUUCAUCGGCAAAACUGCAUUCGAAACUACACGACUAGAGUGCAGGAGAGGAGAGCGGAAUUCUCGGUGUAGCGGUGAAAUGCGUUGAUAUCGAGAGGAACGCCGGUGGUGAAGACGGCUCUCUGGACUGUAACUGACUCUGAGGCACGAAAGCUAGGGGAGCAAACAGGAUUAGAUACCCCGGUAGUCC
rnacentral:rRNA from 1 species